AGAGUUUGAUCAUGGCUCAGAUUGAACGCUGGCGGAAUGCUUUACACAUGCAAGUCGAGCGGCAGCGCGGGGCAACCUGGCGGCGAGCGGCGAACGGGUGAGUAAUGCAUCGGAACGUGUCCAUGUCGUGGGGGAUAGCCCGGCGAAAGCCGGAUUAAUACCGCAUACGCCCGAGAGGGGGAAGUGGGGGAUCUCGCAAGAGACCUCACGCGAUUGGGUCGGCCGAUGUCCGAUUAGCUAGUUGGUGAGGUAAAGGCUUACCAAGGCGAUGAUCGGUAGCUGGUCUGAGAGGAUGAUCAGCCACACUGGGACUGAGACACGGCCCAGACUCCUACGGGAGGCAGCAGUGGGGAAUUUUGGACAAUGGGGGCAACCCUGAUCCAGCCAUUCCGCGUGAGUGAAGAAGGCCUUCGGGUUGUAAAGCUCUUUUGUCCGGAACGAAACGGGUAGCGUGAAUAUCGCUGCCUACUGACGGUACCGGAAGAAUAAGCACCGGCUAACUACGUGCCAGCAGCGGCGGUAAUAC
rnacentral:rRNA from 1 species